UACGGAGGGGGCUAGCGUUGUUCGGAAUUACUGGGCGUAAAGCGCGCGUAGGCGGACCUGCAAGUCGGGGGUGAAAGCCCGAGGCUCAACCUCGGAACUGCCUUCGAUACUGCGGGUCUCGAGUCCGGGAGAGGUGAGUGGAAUUCCUAGUGUAGAGGUGAAAUUCGUAGAUAUUAGGAAGAACACCAGUGGCGAAGGCGGCUCACUGGCCCGGUACUGACGCUGAGGCGGCGGAAAGCGUGGGGAGCAAACAGGG
rnacentral:rRNA from 1 species